rnacentral:rRNA from 1 species
UCCCCGAAAUAGCUUUAGGGCUAGCCUCAAGGUGAGAGAUACGGAGGUAGAGCACUGAAUGUCCUAGGGGGUAUUGCACCUACCGAAGACUAUCAAACUCCGAAUGCCGUCAUCUUAUACUUGGGAGGCAGACUGUGGGUGAUAAGAUUCAUAGUCGAAAGGGCAACAGCCCAGAUCGUCAGCUAAGGUCCCUAAAUGUAAGUUAAGUGGUAAAGGAUG